rnacentral:rRNA from 1 species
GGGGAAUUUUGGACAAUGGGCGAAAGCCUGAUCCAGCCAUGCCGCGUGUAUGAAGAAGGCCUUCGGGUUGUAAAGUACUUUUGUUAGGGAAGAAAAGCUUGUUGCUAAUAUCAGCAAGUCAUGACGGUACCUAAAGAAUAAGCACCGGCUAACUACGUGCCAGCAGCCGCGGUAAUACGUAGGGUGCAAGCGUUAAUCGGAAUUACUGGGCGUAAAGCGAGCGCAGGCGGUUAUUUAAGUCAGGUGUGAAAGCCCCGAGCUCAACUUGGGACGUGCAUUUGAAACUGGAUAACUAGAGUGUGUCAGAGGGGGGUAGAAUUCCACGUGUAGCAGUGAAAUGCGUAGAGAUGUGGAGGAAUACCGAUGGCGAAGGCAGCCCCCUGGGAUAACACUGACGCUCAUGCUCGAAAGCGUGGGUAGCAAAC